rnacentral:rRNA from 1 species
CCAAUAGCGUAUAUUAAAGUUGUUGCAGUUAAAAAGCUCGUAGUUGAAUUUCGGGAUUAAUAUGUCGGUCGUGCCUUGGUACGUAUUGGCAUCGUUGGUUUCUCUCUUCUGAUGAACCAUGAUGUCAUUUAUUUGGUGUCGUGGGGAAUCAGGACUGUUACUUUGAAAAAAUUAGAGUGUUUAAAGCAGGCCCACGCUUGAAUACAUUAGCAUGGAAUAAUGAAAUAGGACGUUUGAUUCUAUUUUGUUGGUUUCUAGGAUCGACGUAAUGAUUAAUAGGGAUAGUUGGGGGCAUUAGUAUUCAAUUGUCAGAGGUGAAAUUCUUGGAUUUAUUGAAGACUAACUACUGCGAAAGCAUUUGCCAAGGAUGUUUUCAUUAAUCAAGAACGAAAGUUAGGGGAUCGAAGACGAUCAGAUACCGUCGUAGUCUUAACCAUAAACUAUGCCGACUAGGGAUCGGAUGAUGUUAAUUUUUUAAUGACUCAUUCGGCGCCUUACG